rnacentral:rRNA from 1 species
GAUGAACGCUGGCGGCGUGCCUAAUACAUGCAAGUCGAGCGAACAGACGAGGAGCUUGCUCCUCUGUCGUUAGCGGCGGACGGGUGAGUAACACGUGGAUAACCUACCUUUAAGACUGGGACAACUUCGGGAAACCGGAGCUAAUACCGCAUAAUAUCUUUAACCGCAUGGUUCAAUAUUGAAAGACGCUUUUGCUUUCCCUUAUAGAGAGAUCCGCGCGUCUUUGGUUAGUUGGUAAGGUAACGGCUUACAAAGGCAACGAUGCUUAGCGGACCUGGAAGGGGGAUCGCCCAAACUGGAACGGAAACACGGUCAAGACUCCUACGGGAGGAAGAAGAAGGGAACCUUCCGCAUGGGGCGAAGGCCGGACGGGGCAAGGCCGCGUGAGUGAGGAGGGUCUUCGGAUGGUAAAACUCUGUUAUUAGGGAAGAACAAAUGUGUAAGUAAAUGUGCACGAAGUGACGGUACCUAAUCAGAAAGCCACGGCUAACUACGUG